rnacentral:rRNA from 1 species
UACGUAGGGUGCGAGCGUUAAUCGGAAUUACUGGGCGUAAAGCGUGCGCAGGCGGUGAGCUGUGUCCGAUGUGAAAGCCCCGGGCUUAACCUGGGAAUGGCAUUGGAAACUGGCUCGCUGGAGUGUGGCAGAGGGGGUGGAAUUCCGCGGUGUAGCAGUGAAAUGCGUAGAGAAUGCGGAGGAACACCGAUGGACGAAGGCAGCCCCCUGGGCUAACACU